ACAGCAAAACAUAACGAGUUCCGUUAUUUGGUAUAAGUCUCGUUUAUUUUAUUAAACACAAAACCAGAUCAUUUUCACACUUCUUAAAAUUUCCCAGACGUUUUGUACCUAGUACAACAUUUUAGAAUGAAUUAUUAUGAUUAAAUACGAGCUUCGCGCUGUUACCAUAGUAACAGAAGCCGCUAGCUUGCUGCUAGCGUCGUAAACGGCUCAUCCUCCGAUGCGUCUUAGUCGAUAACUAGCAUCAUUUCUAAUCUUCUCGUGUCUUAUUUUUCGUCUAAAAUAUAAACACUAGACGCCCAACACCGAAAAGACAAUGUAGGAUGUAUUUUUAGCAGAUGGAUCAGACACAUUCAGGGCGAUCAGUACCUGAAGCUCAGGUGAACGACAGUCUGCUGAUGGAGAUGUGCCUUUACACAUCAUGAAGAAAAUCUUCAACUUCAAGAAGAAGAAGGGCUCCCGCAGUCCCUCGGAGACGGGGAGCGUGUUGUCGGCCAGCUACGAUGUGAAGGAGAAAGACCUCGCCAAGAUCCACAAGGCUGCGUUCAGCGGAGAUGUGGCCAAAAUCAGACAGCUGGCCAAAAAGAAUGAUUUAAAUCAGCUGGAUAAGGAAAAUAGAACUGCGCUGCACAUCGCUUGUGCCUGCGGACACACAGAUGUGGUUCAGUUCUUGGUGGAGAGCAAAGUGAAGCUGAACUUAUGCGACAAUCAGAACCGCUCCGCCUUAAUGAAGGCGGUUCAGUGUGAACAAGACCGCUCCGUCUCUUUGCUCCUGGAACAUGAGGCUGACCCCAACCUGGUGGACAUCAAUGGAAACACUGCAUUGCACCUGGCCGCCCGUAUCCCCUCCCUCCCUGUGGCUCUGCAGCUCCUGGAGCACUCAGCCAACAUCAACGCACAGAACAAGGAUGGCAACACUCCACUGAUGCUGGCUGUGAUGGAAAACCAUGCAGACAUGACCGAGCUUUUAUUGAAAGAGGGAGCAGAAGUUAAUGUCAAGAACCAGGAGCAACGGUCUGCGUUGAUGAUAGCUGCAUGCAAUGGACAAAUCAGCAUGGUGCGUUUGCUUCUGCAGUACGACGCCGACAUCACGGUGAAAGAUGAUAAGGGCUGGUCUUCUGAUGAUUAUGCCGUCAUGAAUGGACAUCACGCAUGUUCACAUCUGAUUAUUGAGCAUGGGACGAAGAGAAGAUCCCUUCAGUCUCCUUCCCAUUUCACUGGCAGCAAAAAGAAACCGACGUCUGUUCUCGGCAGCCCUGGUGGUAUUGGGGCUGGUUUGUCUUUGGGAGGACCAGCUCUGGAUAAAGAUGCAGCAGGAAGCAGCUCUGCAGGAGCAGGGAAAGAUACAGAGUACAAUUCUCACACAGAAUCCAUUAGCAGGGCAUCAAAAAGUGGUGCUGCUGAUCCUUGGCCUUCAUCAGAUGAUGAUGAUGAUGAGUUAGAUUUGAGCCCAAAGAAACAUAAAGUAAACUUGAAGAAACUCAUAAGUUCCACAAAAAGGGAAAAAGUAGAAGUCAUAGUGGAUCGGGAUGCAGACAAAUCCUGGAGCGGAUCAGAGUCUGAACCAGACAGUGGGAAUAAGGGUGAAAUCCACCAUCCACUGUCUAGACCACUCCCAUCCAGCAGCACCGCCCUCCACCCCCCUGUAGCAACCCCACCUGCCUCUUUACCCCACCCACCCCAGAUGAGCUCCACCCCCUUCAGCAGCACCCUUAAGGUAACCCUCAGUGAUGAGGAAGAGGAGGAUGAAGAAGAUGAGGAUGAGAGGGAAGAACUGGAGGAAAUGUGCGACAAGGCUAAAGGUCCUCAAAAUGGUGCUACUAGCAAAGAAAAGCGAAGAGAUUUCCUUUCAGAACUGGGACUCGAAAAGGAAGAUGAAAAUGACGACUCUCCCUGGGAUUCAGAGUCUGGUUCUGAGAGCCCACAGAAGAAACAAGCCAGUGAUCUACACACUCCUGCCAAAUUACAUAGAUCUAUGUCCAGUAUUUGUGAGGAGAAUUCUGAAGACUUCUUAUACGUCCCCUCCUUUGUAAGAGGAGGGAGGAACAGUAAUUUAGUGAGAAGUUUAGGCCAGCCAGGAGCGUGCAGGCCGAUGGUUUUAAGAAAGGAUGAGGAUGAUGAAGAAGAGAAGGAAACUGAAAUACCACCUAAAGUGGUCAAAAGAGAGACGGUGUCUGUUCUUAGUAAGCUGAUGGAUUCAAAAGAAGCUAAUAAGAAAACAGAUCUGAUGGAAGAGCUUGGUUUGGGGGAUGCUGAUGAUCUUGAAGAUGCUUCAGACUGGGACUCUGCCAGUACCACCAGCAAGGCCAGUAAGAAAUUCCCAGUUCAUAAACUGGAUGAGGAACCCAUCUUUGAAAGCCCAGCAGCUUCCGUACUACCCAUAACAUCCGAGGAGCAGGACAUGGACACAAGGGAACAUAAAGAAGCCAGUCCAGAGAGAAACAAACCCACAACCUUAAGCACUACACCUCAACCUAGUCCACGUUCUCUCAACCCAAACGCCAGCUCAAAACCGCAAGCACUGCCACGACUGCGCUUGGACUCCAAUCAGAGGCUGGAGAGUGAAGAAUCGGACUUGGAUUUGGAAACUUCCAGUCCAGCCAAGAUGACAAAUUCACUGCCAAAUAUCGCUGAGCCUGAUGCAGUUCAUCGGCAGGAACCCAAAGCUAAAGAUGUCGAGAGUGAAAACAGUUCUUACACAAGUGAAGAUGCAGAUCAGGCAAGAGAGGCAUUACAAGCGUCUUCUGUAGACAUAAAUAGACCAUCUAACCUUGAACCAAAGGAGCGCCCAAGCUCUCCUAGAGAGGACGAACAAGAGGAAAAAUCUGAUGAGAUUCCCUGGGAGGAACGCUAUGAGAAAAUAUGGGUGGAGAAAGACAAAAAGGAGACCAAGUCUCAGUACAAAAAUGUGGCCGCUGAACUAAAAGAGAGGUUCGGCGAACUGGAGCACAAGGAACCGCUGAGUGACCUUUCGGAGCAGGAGUGGAAAGAAGAUGAACAAGGGGAUGAAGAGGAAAAGAAAGAGGUGGAAAAGGAAGCAGAUGAUGAAGAUUCCAGCGAGGAAGAGGGAGAGUCAAUAGUGCGGCUCACCACACGGGUGAAAAGUGCCAUACUUUUGCCCAUCCCAGAGCAGAGAGAGUCCGGCCUGGAGGACUCGCAGUCUGAAAGUGUCCACCGCACGGUUAGUGUUGAGGUCAGCGAUGCAGAGCUUCCCAGUGACAAGCACGACCCUCAAAUCAUCCCAGAAGCCCUAACGGAAGAGACCCAGGAGCCAGAGAACCGAACGAAUGGAAGCAAAGUUAAGUGUCCACUAGAAUCUGCAAGCAACAUAGAACCCGAAGAACUUCACAAACCUUCAUUGCUUGUUGAGAAUGAGCUACAAGUCGCACCCAAAGUUCUAGAAGUGCCCUCUUCUGACUCCAUUGAGGUUGACGAGGGCCUGUGGAAGUCCAGACUUGAGGGUAAUAAGGAACAGUUGGAUAGUAUGAAGGGAGAACACCUGCCCAGUGCUUUAUGGGAUACUAGAGGAACCAGAGAACGAGGUGAACUUGACCAAGCAAAAGGGAAGAAAACUGACAACAACUCUGGGAACCUGAAACCUCAACAGAAAGGGAUGGCUGAUGGCAGAUCUUUGGGAAGAGAGGGUAGUGUUUCACCAAGACAUCUGACAAGAAGUCCAAGAAGUACUGACAGGGCACGACCACAUGGUGAGGAAGAUGAAGAGGAGGAAAAGAAAACUGUAGGUAGCCAAGCCAGAAAUCUCCGUGUAGCUCCCCCUCUGCAGGGCAAACCCUCCCGACCUGCGACCCGCCAUAACGGAGACCUCGAGUCUGUCUUUGAUGAUAGUACUUUAAGUGAGCUAUCGGAAGAGGACAGGAGGUCCCCAUCUUCAAGGCGUAAGAAAGAGCAGAGUACUGGAGAGCUGGAGAUGGGGGAUGAUUUUGAAGAUCUCACCCAGUCUUCUGACACAGCCACUGAGGAACUAGAGACUCCAGUAUCUGGAUACCACAAUGCAUCUCUGCUCUUCAAACAGCUGGACUCCAGCUAUCUGGACUCUGUGAGUGUGGUGAAACUACAGAACAUGUUUCAUGAGUACGAACGCACCAUCCAGAGGGAGAGAGACAGACACAGCCGUCUGGCGGAUAAAACCUCUCAGCUGGAGCAGGAACGCAACGAGCUCAAGAUCCUGCUGGAUGAGAUCAGAGGCAGCAAGACCGGCCUAGAACAUCUCAAACUGGAGCUGGAAACGGACAUGAACAAUCUCAAGUUCCUGUUGAGACAGGAACAGGAAAAGCAUCAAAGCGCUCACAUGCUGUAUAAUAAAACCCGUGAGCAGCUCCAGAGGAAAGAGGAGCAGCAGCGAGCCGAGGCCGAGGAGCGCCACAAAGCCGAGCUGAAAGUCCGUAGUUUGGAACUGGAGAUCAGAGCUCUAAAGAACAGCAUCAAACAGCUUGAGGAGGACAGAGAUGAGUCUCAGCGUCUCUUGUCUCAUGAGCGCAGUGCUCGCGCCCUACAGGAGGAGUUACUCAACAACCAUCUGCGUAAGCAGCAGAACAUUGAAGAGGAGAACCUUCGAAACCUCAACAAGAGCAAUGAGGCCAUGUCCCAGCUCACAGAGGCAUCGGAUCGUGAGCGAGAGUUGAUGCAACAAAACCGAGCUCUACAGGAUGAUCUGAACACUGCUCGAGCUGAGCUGGACCGCUCACAGUGCCACAGCCGACAGGAAGAGUCCCGGCUGGCAGAGGAGAGAGACGCUCUUCGUGAGAGACUGGAGGAUGCCCGCAGGGACAUGAAACUGAGCGAGGAGGCCUUGGCCCAGACUGUGUUCCAGUACAACGGGCAGCUGAGCGCACUGAAGGCCGAAUGCUCAGUGAUCACGGCUAAACUGGAGCACGAGAGGCAAGUGAGGCAGCAACUGGAGGCCGAGGCCGAGGCGAGCAGGGGACGACUGCAGGCAGCACUGCAGGAGGCAGAGAGAUGCCAGGCAUCACGCACAGAUGCAGAGCGCUCUCUCCAGCGAGACCGUGAGGAGCACCAGCGGGCGCAGGAAAAGCACAUCUUUGAGUCCAGUACACAACGAGACACCAUCCAGUCCCUGUCCCAGAAACUCAGCAAGGCCGAGGCGCGUGCCAACAGCCUGGAGAACGAGUGUCACCGCAACGCUCUGACCAUCGCUGAGAAGGGCGUACUGUUGGAGACUCUGGCCCGGGAGAAAGACCAGGCCCUGGCCAAACUCAAAGAACUGGAGGCCACGGUACUGAGCGAACGGGAGCAGGCCAGCCGUGCUGGAGCCAGACAGGAAGCAGUGCAGGAGAGACUGGCCCAGGCUCAGAGUGAGAAUGCACUGCUACGACAGCAGCUGGAGGAGGCGCUCAACAAGGGCUCGGCCAAGGAGAAAGCCGUUACAGAUGUGCAACAAAACUUCGCCGAAAUGCUGAACCAGUUACGUGCAGACGGAGAGGAGAGAGUCCACCUAGUGGAGGAGAGAAGCAAAGAGCUGGCAAAGACAAACAGCGAGCUAAGAGAUCAGAAUUACAAACUAGAGCAGGAGAAAGCUGAUCGAGAGAGCUCUCUGAGGCAGCUGCAGCAGGAACUGGCCGACUGUCUGAAGAAGCUGUCCAUGUGUGAGGCUUCUCUGGAGGUCAACACACGCUACCGUAAUGAUCUGGAGGAAGAGAAGGUGCGCACACACAAGGACAUGGACAGAUUGAGGGGAAAGCUGCAGGAGUCUGAGGAAGUGUACGUCCAGGCAGAGAGACGCAUCAGCCAGCUGAAGAGCUCUCUGGACGACAAAGAGCGAGAAGCCUGCAGUACCGCUCAGAAACUAGAGGAGGCGCUAGCUGCUUCCACAAGCAAAGAGCAAACCAUUAAACAGCUGGAGGAGGCGGUGCAGAGGUUAGAGAUCGAGAACGCCAGACUGGAGGCCACGACCAAACAGCAGACCAACCGCAUCGAGGUGCUUCAGAAGGGCGUUCAGGAGGGCACUGUGCUAUCAGGCUCAUCACCUGGAGAAGGGGUCAGGAAUCGUUUGGAAGACAUCGUCACAAACCUGCAGAGCAGUAAGAUGACACUAGAAGAACAACUCAACCGAGAGGUACAGAAGCAGAGUAUGCUAUCCCAUAAUGCCCAGGACUCACAAGCACUGUGGGAGGAGGAGCUAAAGGGCCGCUCACGACUGGGACUCCGCCUCUCUGAGCUGGAGAAAGAGAAAGGAGAACUGACCAAUCAGAUGGAGCUCGAGAAGAAAAAGGCCAAAAAACUAUCCGAGCAGAAGAAAUCUGUGGACACGCGUCUGGAGCAGGAGAUGAAGAGAAACACAGACCUUCAGAAAGAAAUGUACAGGUUGAAAACGCUGUUGAAGACGGCUAAGAAGCAGCUGCGUGAACAGGGCGGUGGACAGCUGGACUCUCCUCUGGGCAGCUUCAGAGCAGACAUGAGCCACCGACUGGAGGCAGAGAGCGCCGUCAGCAGAAUGAAGACCCGGGUGGAUGAGCUGCAGUCUCAGUACGAGCGGGAGGCAUCACGCUGCUCGAGGCUGGAGGAGGUGAACAGACAGCUGAAGGAGAAGCUGUCGUCAGUGAAGAGCCUGAGCCGAAGCCACGAGCAGCUGGAGCGCAGUAAGAGGCAGCUGGAGGAGGAGGUGUCCAGUCUGCGCCGGCAGCUGGAGGCCGGUGUGAUGGACCAGAGCCAGGCCGAGCAAUACCGCAGGGAGACGGAGGAAAGAGCCCGACAGGAGAUCCGACACAAACUAGAGGAGGUCAACCUCUUCCUGCAGACGCAGGCGGCGUCUCAGGAAGCUCUGGAGCAGAUGAAAGCUGCUAAUGAGGCCAGUCAGCGUGCUCAACUGGAGCAGCGCAUCAGGGAUCUGGAGGGAGAACUCAGCCGUUUACGCAGUAUUCAGCAGGACAGUCUCGUUCAGAGAGACUCCAGCAACACAGAGCUGGAGCGCUACAAACAGCUGUACAGCGAAGAGCUCCGCCUCCGCAAGAGUCUGGCUGCCAAACUAGAAAGGUCGAAUGAGCGGUUAGCGGAGGCCAACACUAAACUCCUGAGCGAGAGGCAGCGCAGUAAAUCUCUGCUCACCAGCAGUAUAGGGAACGCUGGUUUAGGGGGUCCCGCUCUGGAUAUGGCAUCUGUGGGGGCAUACGGAGCCUCUCUGGGACCCCUGAACAGAAGCCUGGGCCUCGGGACGCCUCUGCUGGGUACGGUAGGGGAAUCGCAGAGCAGCCGUGUAGAGGCCUACCUGGCGAAGCUUCUAGCUCAAAAGUCUGUUUCUCACCUGUCCUCUCUGCAGCCUGAUACCUGAGCAGAUGCAGACGGAGCUGGAGAAGAACAUAUCGAAGGAGCUGGACUACGGAGGAACUGCCCGCAUGUCUCCUGUAGGAUCGGCCUCUAGCUCCCAGAACCAGAACCUGAACCUGACCCUGGAGCAGCCGGACCCCGUCAGCAGAGCC